CUUUUAAUUCACUGAAUUUCAUACGUCUAUUAUAUCAUUUUGCAGUGAAUCAAUCUCACGACGAAUUAUACCUCAUAGGUUUGAGUUUUCCAUCGGCUAAUUGAUGGAUAGAGGACGGAGAAGGGGGGGUUCAGUCUCUCGUGGCAUGCUUCCACUGCUGGCGCUGCACGCCGUGGCCGAGUACAGCAGGCUCGACCGGAAACCGCCCGUCACGGCGGGCCUUGUGGCGGCGAACACCAUCAUUUACUUGAGGCCCAAUUUCCUUGAUCAGAUCAUCCCUUACAUUGAUGAGGUCUGGUUUAAUCCCCACAUUAUCGUUAAGUACAAGGAUCUUAAGCGGUUUUUCCUUUCUGCAUUCUACCAUAUCAAUGAAUCUCACUUGGUGUACAAUAUGCUGUCACUUCUAUGGAAGGGAAUUCAGUUGGAAAGGUCAAUGGGAAGCGCAAAAUUUGCGUCCAUGGUUGCAGCUUUAGUUCCUAUGUCCCAAGGCAUCACGUUGUUGCUUGCCAAAUUUCUUGUUUUGUUCUUUGACUAUGACAGCCCCUAUUACAAGGAAUAUGGUGUGGGGUUUUCUGGUGUCCUCUUUGCAAUGAAAGUUAUUUUGAAUGCACAGUCAGGGGAUUAUACAUAUGUACAUGGUCUGAUGGUACCUGCUCGCUAUGCUGCUUGGGCUGAACUUAUUCUCAUCCAGAUGUUUGUUCCUAGUGUCUCUUUCAUUGGCCAUCUUGGUGGAAUACUUGCGGGCCUUGUAUAUUUACAUUUAAAAGGGUCCUAUUCAGGUUCUAAUCCACUGAUAAAAAUUGUCCGUAGUUUCAUUAGUGCUGUGAGCUUGCCUUUAAAGUUCUUGUGGGGCUCAGGAUGGUUCCAACGAAGAGUUUAUGGUCAGGGAGCUGUAGGUGGUAGGUCAGAUAGAAAUACAUCUGAUGUAUGGAGAUGCCAAGCAUGUACAUAUGAUAAUCCAGGAAUUUUAAAUGUUUGUGAGAUGUGUGGGACAGAUCGCUUUGAAAACUCUUCUUUGCACUCACCAAGGAGCGAGAUUCAAGACAUUCCUUUGGAGGAAUUACGACGUCGGAGAGUUGAACGAUUUGGUGGACUAUAGUAUUUGGACUUCAGACGAUUUUGGAGCAAAGAGCAAUAUGCUAUCUGUUGGUUGUAUUGCAGCAGUCUUCAAGGUCAGAUUGGGUUUAUCUUUUGUUGUGCAAUGGUUCUGUAGAAUCAGAUGGAAUGAAACUUGGGCUAAUGCUAUAGGCUUAAAAGUUCAAGGCGCAAGUUUUCUUGAGAUACCAGGAUAGUGGGUGGGAUACAUACUAAUGCAUUGUUGGAUACUUGGAUUAUGUUGAAUUUUAGAUUGAUCCAAGCCAUAACAGGUAAAUCUUGCCUUCUUAUGUGAAGGGGGUUUAGUUUUAAAGCUGUGUAAUUGGCUUCAAAUGUUGCAGAAAAAUAUUCUUUUUCUGUAUUUUGUAAUUUUGCAGAGUGAUUGAUGAUCUAAAACAACUUUUAAGAAAUUUUACCAAUAUUCUAUUUUA